rnacentral:rRNA from 1 species
UACGGGGGGGGCAAGCGUUGUUCGGAAUUACUGGGCGUAAAGGGCUCGUAGGUGGCCAACUAAGUCAGACGUGAAAUCCCUCAGCUUAACUGGGGAACUGCGUCUGAUACUGGAUGGCUUGAGUUUGGGAGAGGGAUGCGGAAUUCCAGGUGUAGCGGUGAAAUGCGUAGAUAUCGAGAGGAACACCUGCGGCGAAGGCGGGUUGCUGGGCUGACACUGACGCUGAUGCGCGAAAGCUAGGGGAGCGAACGGG